AUGCUCAUCUCUUUCGUACCUUUCUCUUUCAAUCUUCGUCUAAAAUCAUCUGAUUCGCCAUCAUCAUCUUCGUUUAUGAAUAAAUCUCCACCUCAUAUACACACUCACUGCGAAUCUACCGGAAAAUGGUCUGGUGUAUCUUCACAUAUGGCAAGAUCGAAGAGAAUUCCAGAGAAACAGAUUUGUACAAGAUUUGUUUUCAAUUAUUCUUUUCUUGUUAUUGGUUCGAUAUUCCUGUUGAUUUAUGUUGUGUUGACGUAG